rnacentral:rRNA from 1 species
AACGAACGCUGGCGGCAUGCCUAACACAUGCAAGUCGAACGAAGUCCUUCGGGGCUUAGCGGCGCACGGGUGCGUAACGCGUGGGAAUCUGCCCUUGGGUUCGGAAUAACAGUGGGAAACUACUGCUAAUACCGGAUGAAGUCUUCGGACCAAAGAUUUAUCGCCCAAGGAUGAGCCCGCGUAGGAUUAGGUAGUUGGUGGGGUAAAGGCUCACCAAGCCGACGAUCCUUAGCUGGUCUGAGAGGAUGAUCAGCCACACUGGGACUGAGACACGGCCCAGACUCCUACGGGAGGCAGCAGUGGGGAAUAUUGGACAAUGGGCGAAAGCCUGAUCCAGCAAUGCCGCGUGAGUGAUGAAGGCCUUAGGGUUGUAAAGCUCUUUUACCAGGGAUGAUAAUGACAGUACCUGGAGAAUAAGCUCCGGCUAACUCCGUGCCAGCCGCCGCAGUAAAAC